rnacentral:rRNA from 1 species
CAGUCGCCGCGGUAAUACGUAGGUCCCGAGCGUUGUCCGGAUUUAUUGGGCGUAAAGCGAGCGCAGGCGGUUAGAUAAGUCUGAAGUUAAAGGCUGUGGCUUAACCAUAGUAUGCUUUGGAAACUGUUUAACUUGAGUGCAGAAGGGGAGAGUGGAAUUCCAUGUGUAGCGGUGAAAUGCGUAGAUAUAUGGAGGAACACCGGUGGCGAAAGCGGCUCUCUGGUCUGUAACUGACGCUGAGGCUCGAAAGCGUGGGGAGCAAACAGGAUUAGAUACCCCCGUAGUCCCUGUCUCUUAUACC